rnacentral:rRNA from 1 species
GAUGAACGCUGACAGAAUGCUUAACACAUGCAAGUCAACUUGAACUUCGGUUUGGGUGGCGGACGGGUGAGUAACGCGUAAAGAACUUGCCUCACAGUUAGGGACAACAUCUGGAAACGAAUGCUAAUACCUGAUAUUAUGAUUUUAGGGCAUCCUAGAAUUAUGAAAGCUAUAUGCGCUGUGAGAGAGCUUUGCGUCCCAUUAGCUAGUUGGAGAGGUAACGGCUCACCAAGGCGAUGAUGGGUAGCCGGCCUGAGAGGGUGAACGGCCACAAGGGGACUGAGACACGGCCCUUACUCCUACGGGAGGCAGCAGUGGGGAAUAUUGGACAAUGGACCAAGAGUCUGAUCCAGCAAUUCUGUGUGCACGAUGAAGUUUUUCGGAAUGUAAAGUGCUUUCAGUUGGGAAGAAAAAAAUGACGGUACCAACAGAAGAAGUGACGGCUAAAUACGUG